CAGCCGCCACGGGAAUACGUAGGGUGCGAGCGUUAAUCGGAAUUACUGGGCGUAAAGCGCGCGCAGGCGGUUCGUUAAGACAGAUGUGAAAUCCCCGGGCUUAACCUGGGAACUGCAUUUGUGACUGGCGAGCUAGAGUAUGGCAGAGGGGGGUAGAAUUCCACGUGUAGCAGUGAAAUGCGUAGAGAUGUGGAGGAAUACCGAUGGCGAAGUCAGCCCCCUGGGCCAAUACUGACGCUCAUGCACGAAAGCGUGGGGAGCAAACAGGAUUAGAUACCCGCGUAGUCCCUGUCUCUUAUAA
rnacentral:rRNA from 1 species